rnacentral:rRNA from 1 species
GACAGAGGUGCCAAGCGUUAGGCGGAAUCACUGGGCUUAAAGCGUGUGUAGGCGGAAUGGUAAGUACCUUGUGAAAUCCCACGGCUCAACCGUGGAACUGCUUGGUAUACUGCUUUUCUUGAGCCACUUAGGGGCAACCGGAACAAACGGUGGAGCGGUGAAAUGCGCAGAUAUCAGGAGGAACACCAGCGGCGAAGGCGGCGCUCUGGGCCGGUACUGACACUGAGGAGCGAAAGCGUGGGUAGCAAACAGG